rnacentral:misc_RNA from 1 species
AAGUCGUAACAAGGUUUCCGUAGGUGAACCUGCGGAAGGAUCAUUAUCGUGAGGCUUCGGCCUUAUCGAGAUAGAACCCUUGCCUUUAUAGUACCUUCUGUUGCCUCGGCAAUGCGUAAUAGCACAGCCAAUGGGGCCAAAAAUAAACCUUUGUAUUAUAGUCAUAGUCUGAAAAACAAACAAAAAUUAAAA